GGUGUAAACAAGCCUUCUGGCUUGAUAUUUUAUUAGGUUUUAUACCUUUGUGAGGAGAACAGCCUUCUUGUGCUAGGACACAAAAUUCUUAAGUUUUCCUUCCGUCCUAGGGAGUGGUCAGUGUAUAUUUGUCGUUCUGAAUAUAGCCCUUUUGCCUGUUGACUAAACCAGACCCAACAUUUAUUCAGAAGAUAUUUAUUUGGGUGUCACCCCUGGUGUCAUGAUGCAGAGGGAUCAAAACAAACAAGGACCAUGUUCUGAAGGAGUUUGCAGUUGAAUGGGGUAGAUGGGCAUUGUUCAGAGGAUAUGCCCUCUAGGUCAUAAUAACAACCCGAGAAGUACUGAAGGAAAGAAACCUGGUUCUGCCAGGGCAGUGAACAGUGGGGUGAGGGAAGACUUCCCUGAGGAAGUCUCACUCAUUCAUUGAGAAUUAAUGAUGAGUGAGAAUUAAGUAGUUGGGGGCAGGAGGCAUUUCAGCAGAGGGAACAACCUGAGUGAAGGCUCUAUGGCAGAGAGGAAAACAGUUGUUGGGGAAACUGAAAGAGGCCAGUGUGUGGUUGGAACAUUGUACUUGAGCAAAGAGAGUGGAGAUGGAGUGGGAGUGGGAGAGGUAGGCCAAGACCCCAACAUGCAAGGCCUGGAGGUCAUGGCUAGGAGUUUUAUUUUUUAGGUCAAAGGCAGUGAGAUGACACUGAAGAGUUUUAAACCGGGAAGCAGGUGAUAGGAUGACCAGGUGUAUUAUUUUGGAAAAAUCAUUUGGACCACUGUGUUCAGAACAUCUUAGGGGAAGACCAGAGGGAUUGCCAAGGAACCAAUGAAGAGACUGUCUUAGUCCAUUUUGUGCUGCUUUAACAGAAUGCUACUCACUGGGCGAUUUAUAAAGAACAGAAGUUUAUUUGGCUCACAGUCCAAGAGCAUGGCACUAGCAUCUGGCCAGGGUCAUCCUAUGGCGGAAGGCGAGAGAGGAAAUGGGGGUUGAACUCAUCUUUUUAUCAGGAGCACACUCAUGCAGUAACGUAUUAGUCCAUUCAUGAGGGCAGAGCCCUCGUGACCUAAUCACUUCUUAAAGGCUCCACUCUUACACCAUCACAGUGGCAAUUAAUUUGCAGCAGAGUUUUGGUAGGGACAUUCAAACCAUCGCAGGCAGUUACCAUUGUUCAGGUGAGAGAUAUUGGUGGCCUGGACUAGUGGUGACAGUAGAAAUAGAGCAAAGAAAAUGAAUUUCCAACCUGGUUAGAAGAUGAAGCCAACAAAACCUUGUGAUGGAGCGAGUAAGAGCAUGGGAAAGAGGAUUGAUAAGCUUGACUCUCCGAUUUCUGACUCACCCAGCUGGGUGGAUGGUGCCUAUUUUUUAAGAUGGGAAUGUGGGAAGAGGACUACAUGGAGUGGUGGAGGGAGGAAGUUGAUCUGAGUUGGGACUUGGAUGUGUGGAGUUUGGUCUGCCUUUGAGCAUUCAGUUGGACAUGUGAAAUGGGAAGUGGCCAGUUGUAUGAGCCUGAUGUUCAUAAGAGAGGUCUGGGCUUAAGAUAGGAAUUUGGGAGUCAGCAGAGUCUAGGUGGGAAUGGGAAGCCUGGUGAGACGGUAUACAGAGGGAGAGGCAGGAGGCCUGGGCCUGAGAACCCUCCAGGCCUUUUCUGGCUGGGCAGAGGAGGCUGAGUCUGCAGACGAAAUAGAGCAGAGAUGGGUAAGAAGCGGAGGAAAGAUGAGGAAAAUAUGUGGUUAUGAAGCCCGAAGUCGAGAAAAUUUGAGAGUGAGGUCAGUAAGGUGAAAUGCUACAGAGAGGUCAAGUGAGGUAAAGACUGGAAAAAUGCCCAUCAGAUUUAGAGACAUGUGGGUCAUUGGUGGCCUUAGCUUGAGCUGUUUUGGUGGCAUGAUGGAGGUGAAAGCCAGACUGGCGUGGGAGGUGAGGAAACAGACGGUGAACAUAGACAACUCUUUCCCGAAGGUUGGCUGUGGGAGGAGGGAGAUGUGGAUGUUAAAAGUAUUUUGUUUUUUCUUUUUUUUAAGGUAGAAGAGACUUGAACUUGUUUAAAUGUCAUUGGGGAGGGAGCCAGUUCAAGGAGAGGUUUGGUAAUGCAGAAAGAAGAAAGGACAGUGUUUCAUUUUUUCAACAAAUGUUGAGUGCCUGCCACUCUGUGCUGAAGAAUUCUCAGUACUUGGGAAUUCAGCAGUGAACAGAACAGGCAAAGUGUCUGUUGUCAUAGAGUUUAUGUUCUGCUGGGGAAGGCAGAUAGUAAAUGAACUGAUAUAUAAUAUGUCAAGGGUGAUAAAUACUAAAAAAAGACUAAAAAAAUGAAUUAGUAAAGUGAGAGAACAAACCAGGUAAGGAGAUACAGGGUGACAAGGGGGUGGCAGUAUUAGGUGCUGAGGAAGUCCCCUGAGGAGGACAUCAGAGCAGAGAUCUGAAGGAAGUGAGGGGGUGAGCCAUGGAGAUAUCUGGGGGGAGGGAGGGCAUUCCCAGGAGCAGGAAUAGCUCAUGCAAAGGCCCCGGGGCAGAAAUGUGCUUGGUGUGUUCGAGCAAGUAGGCCAGGGCCAGGGUGGUAGAAGGUGAGAGCAGAGGGAUAGCAGGGGCCAGAUCACAUAGAGGUUUGGAGGCCAAGAUCGAGAGUUUUAAUUUUACGCGGAGUGGGAUGGAAAGCUACUGGAGCAUUUUGAGCAAAGGAGUGUUGUGAUCUGAGUUACAUUUUGAGGGCAUCCCUCUGGCUGCUGUUGAGAAAAGCUGUGGGGUGGAAGGGAGGAUAAUUGCUGAAGCAUGGAGACCAGUUACAAGACCAUUGUGAUGGCCCAGGUGGGAGAUAACAGUUGCUUGGCCUAGGGUGAUAGUGGUGGCCUAGUGUGGUAAGAAGGGAUCAGGUUCUAGAUAUUAUGGAUAGUGUGAAGUUCCUGAGAAGGCGGAUAGGGAUGGGAGGUGACAGAGGUGGAGGGGUUGGACACCCACUCCCUUAUAGCAGGAGAGAGCAGAGAGUAGGCCCGAAGUGGGUCAGGUUGUAGGUUUGCUAACAGCAAGCUGAGGGAGUCUCCUUGUGCCCACUUCUAAUUUCUGAGUGAAGUAGGAGGCCACUCCAUUGGUUGUGAGUAAAGAGGACGGCAGCAGAACAGCGAUGAUUGGGAGGGGAGAGUUGGGCCAUUGAGGGUGGAGAAAUGUGCAGUAGCCAUCGUGGAGAGUGAGAGGUGACCAAAUUACUGGGCAGCAUUUCAGGUUUCAUUCGUGGUGGGUAAUUGGGGCUCUGUAGGCCUGCCAACCUGCCCUGUUGUCAGAGGUCUGCUUAGGCGGAGACAGGUGAAAAGGGGACGCUAGUACAAUCUAAGUUUGGGAUUUUGCCAGAAGUUAAGACUAAAGGUCAGAGAGAGUCCAGGCUAUUGAUUGCGUGUCAUCUGAUAAUAGUCCUGCUGAUGGGAUCUACCCUGGAAAAUGAGGAAAAAGGAAAGCCGAGAGGUUGGCCAUCUCAAGGUUUGACAGGACAAAGACAGGUUCUACUGGGAGCAAUUGAGAGGGUCAGCUGGAAGGAGAGAAGAGGAAGGAGCUGGAAGUUCCCCAGUUCCAUAUAGGGACAAGAGUCAGUGUGACCAGCCUCACCAGGCUGGCUUGGAGUGGAGGAGGAUGUGGUAGGUGACUGGGAGCUAAAGGAAUUUAGGGGCAGCGUUGGUUUCUGUGGGGGAAGCCUGCGACAGAUAGAAGUCUGAGGAGUGUGGAAGGGUUACUGUGGGAUCUGGGGGCAUUGGCCACUGAUGGGAUUGUUGGGCAGUGCUGGGUUUGAGGUUGGUGAUGGUGAUUGUUGGACUUGCCUUGGGAGUGGAAGAGAGAAUGCGAGCCAGUGUCAGAGGUGCUGGUGAAUGGAGGUGUGUGACCCGAGCGGUAACAUCCAGAAAGGAUUUCCCGCAAAGACAGCGCGGCUUUUCAGCUGCAGCUGCCCCACCCUGCUCCAGUCUCCCUCAUUUCCAGCCUGGAAAUUGUUGCUAAUUGCCCCAUUGGCAGUUGGGAAGGCAACGCCUGUUAAGAUGUGGAGCAAUAAAGUGGAGCAGGUAUGCUGUGCCGUAUGCCCCUCUUCCUGCACCGUCCUCCUUCUGUCAUCGUUGAGUGGCUCAGGAGUGCUGGCCCUCUAACAGACUGCCUGGGCGUGGAUCCUGACUGCAGAGUAGCACUUCUGGCUGUGACGUGGGCAGAUGGCUUAACCUCCCUGUGCUCAGAUUCCUCACCUGUAAAACAGUUAAUGGAUGAUUAGAGUGUUCCUGCCUCCCUGGGUUGUGGUGAGGACUGAAUGAGCACCUGCCACUAGGAGGCAAUCAGUGAGUCAGCUAUCAUCAUUAUUAUUAUUAGGGUUCCACUCAUUCUCCUUUUCCCUUGGCAUUGCUUGAUCCCACGGAGAUCCCACUAGAGAUUUUGCUUUAAUACUGACUUGUUUUAAAAUAAGAGCAAGAGAACUGACAUUUAUUGACCACCUGCUGUGUGCCAGCUGCCGCCUUAGUCACCACCAAGACCUCUCUCAUGGCGGUGUCAAGAGAAUUAUCUGCACUCUUGGUGCCUAGUUAUGGUCUCUGGAGCAUGAGCCACCGCGCCUGGCCUAUAGUGGCAUUUCAAAACAGAUUGUUUUAGAGCUCACAGCCCAGCACCAAUGCUAGCGAAGACCUCAUUGCUUUAGAUAGGUUUAGGACUUAAACUUGACUCUAACAAGGUAAUGGUGAUUGGAAGGAAAACCUACAUUUGAGUUUGGGCAGCAGCACCCCUCUGGCAUGUCACAGUGACAUAUCUUGUCACCCAAGCAGAGCCUUGGCAUUAUAGAUAC
rnacentral:lncRNA from 1 species